UCCCAGCGAUCCCAGGACAAUUCCCGGCGAUCCCAGGACAAUUCCCAGCUAUUCCCCGGUAAUUCCCGAGGGAAAGCGGCUGUGCCGGUCCCGAGCGUUACCGGGUUUGUGGAGCUCAGCCGGGCUCGUUCCACCGGGAAAGGAGCUCCACUGAACGAGCCCGGCAGAGCUGAGCCGGGCACCGGAGCGAAACCGGAGCAGCACCGGAGCGGUACCGGAGAGGCACCGGAGCGAUACCGGAGCGGCACCGGAGAGGAACCGGAGAGGCACCGGAGCGGCACCGGAGCGGUACCGGAGAGACACCGGAGAGACACCGGAGCGGUACCGGAGAGGCACCGGAGAGACACCGGAGCGGUACCGGAGAGGCACCGGAGAGGCACCGGAGCGGCACCGGAGCGGCACCGGAGCGGCACCGGAGAGACACCGGAGCGGCACCGGGCCCGCCUGUGCUCCCGUUCUCCAUCCCCAGGAGCCCUCAGCCCCCGCCGGCUGCCGGGGCGGGCGGAGAAGGGAAGGCACCGCUCCCCCGGUGCCCCCUCCCCGUGUCCCAAAGCCCCGGGAGCACCGGCCGGACCCUCCCCCGCUGGAGGCAACCGGGGACCCCCGGCCCAGCCCCGCGUCCCGCCGCCACCGGCGGGGGUGAUCCCCGCACCUGGCACCAGCAGCACUGGAGACAGAGAAGCCCCAGCGGAGGGCACAGCCCGCUGCCGGUACAUCCCGCUGCCGGUACAUCCCGUCCGGUCCCGCCCCCCCAAGGCCCCGCUGCACCCGGUACCCCCCGCUGCCGCUGCCCCCAUGCGGCCAGGAGCCGCGGCUGCCAGCGGGCAGCACGGCUCGGCAGCAGCGGGCCCGGAGGCGGAGGGGUCCCGGCGAGGGCCCCGUCCCGGUGCCGGUGUCCCCCGGUCCCCCCGCACUCACCGGACACUCGCCUGGGCCGGACGCGCUCCCGCACUGCGCAUGCGCCGCGCCCCCUGCGCGCCGGCGCCGCCACGACCACGCCCCUUCCCUUAUAAGUCCAUAAGGGCGUGGCCUGUGGCGGAAGCCACGCCCCCAGCGGUACCAUAG
rnacentral:lncRNA from 1 species